CUGCGUGUCUAAAAAUCCGUUUGCUAUUAACAUACGUGGCUUUAGCUCCUGCCGUUGUGUUACAGAGUUCUUCGCUUUCAUUUUCCUUCAAUCUCUCCCACAAUAUUGAUUUUCAUCUCAAUUCUCUUGCUUCAUCUCGCCCAAUUCUCUAUUUCUAUCGUCUUUUUCUUCCAUUAUAGUGUGAGCUCUUGAUUUCACUAAGUACUCUCUUCUAUUGCAGAUUUGUGGCCAAUGUUUUGGUGCAACUCCAAGCCCUUUUCAUCACUCCAUCUGCCUCGCUUUCUACCACAAGAUUGGAAGGUGGAACCCAAAGAGGGAAGAUUACUUUCUUCUUGUGUUUGUCUGGAAUCUUGAAUUCAUAAUCUUUUCUAAAACAAAAAUACCCUCAAUUUCAUCAAUCAAAACCCUAACUCAAAUUUUUUCCAAAUCUUCUUGAAUAUAUGCAAAACCAGCCUUUCAGCCAGUUUAGUUCAUGAAUUUAAGCUACACUUGCUUGGAGAUUUGUGUUGUUCCAGUGCUUCUAAUCGACCAAUCAUACUCAUCAUCUAUUUCUGUCUUUCUCACAAUGCUUUCAGAUUGGCAAUUGAGAGUUAAAAACAAUGUGCCCAAGGACCAACUUGAUUUUGAUUAAACAAGGAGAAUAUUUCCCGUGGCAACUCUCUGGUGUGUAAGGUAUUUUUACAUACCAAUAUGGCUGAAAAUCUGGACGCUUGAUGUGGAGGUUUUUAAUUAUUAAAUAAUACUCCAUAUUUCAUAUAGGUUCUGUUGGUUUGUUCUCUUCCCACCGAAUGGUUUUAAUGAUUUAUCUUUGCGCCAAUGAUCAAAACUGUGAGCAUAUUCGUUAGAUGUUGUUCUGACAUCUUAUUGUACAACAGAGAACAUUUAAAGGCUAUGGAGCAUGUGCAUUUUAUCCUGUUGCAUGAUUUAGAUUACUUUUAUUCAUAUGGUGUCUUGGCAAAGCAUUUGAGAAGUUGUCCAGUACUGAAAGUUUUGUAGCUGAAACAAGAUAACUCAGCUUGGUAAAAUCUCAUGAUCCAUAUUCAGCUCCAGUGUAUUCUUUCUCCUAUAUGCUCAGUAAAUUUGUUUUCCUCUUUUAACUUCACAAUACAACUCAACUUACUAAAAUUUCAUGCAUCUUAACUUUGAUUUGAAUAGUUGGACAAGUGAUCCUUCAAGAACUUACUUGAUGGAAAUAUCAAUAUCUACCUUUAAUUUGCUUGUGCAGGCUGUUGCUUCCAUAGAAACAUACCAGGUAAUACCUAGAGUCUAAUGGCCUGCUUUGCCAAACUUUUCAAAAUUAGCUUAUUUGAGAAAAGUACUUUUCAAAAGAGUAUUUUUUGUGAGAAGCAGUUUGUGUUUGACAAAUCAACUUGAGAAGCAUUUUUAACUUUUCAAAAAUAACUUCUACUUCUACUCAAAAGUAAUUUUUUCCUUCUAAAAGUUUGACCAAAUAUCUUAAUUUUGUGAAAAAUAUUAUUACCCAAAAAAGCACUUUUCACCAAAAAAAUCUUCACCUAGUAGGCUAUAAGUUCAUUUCGAGCAUAAAAGAAUGAGCUUGUUUCUUAUUCUUCCCCUAAAUGUUUUUCCAGUACACUUGUCCAUAAAAAGAUGAAAAUCUGGCAACCAUCUUAAAUGAAAUUUCGCAUCCUAUAAUUGGCGCAACUGCUGCGAUAAUGAUAGAGUGCUAGAGAAGAAGUAUGCAGAUUAAUAAAGGUGAAAGUAAGUUCAUAUCAAAUAGUCAAUAUGCAAUUGUACACUUGCUCCAUAAAGACCUUUUGUUUUUUCCUGGAAAAUGAAAAUGAAGAGAUAAACCAUGAUGAGCGAAUUCCUUGCGUUCAUUACUACUCUCGAAUUCCUUUAUGGAUGGAGACAGUUAUUGGGGUUUGCCUACAGCUACCCCUUUUUCCAUGUGUCUGGUAUAAUUUUGUUAUAUAUUAGUGAAAUAAAUCUUAUUAGAGUGGAAGGAAGUUUCUGAUUCUAAUGUAUUUAUUGCAUGUUGUGCAGCUGUGUGUGGUGUAUUCGUGUGUAUUCACACUCUUUUUACUGGCAGGAGUUCUUUGGAGCAUGCUAAAUUUGAGCUUAUGGUAUAAUGAAAGCACAAACAAAGAUGCAUGACAAUGUUUAGAAAGUAUGUCAAUUACACCGACUAAUUUAGUUCUCUUGCUUCUCUUCCUUUUCUCAACUAUUUUCUCUGUGAAAGAAUGAGAUAGGCUAGACUAACGAAUAAUCCCUACUGGUACCAAUAUUUUGGCAAAGCAUACAGGUACCAAUAUUUUGACAAAGCAAGCAAGAAAGGAGCCUAACCAAAGCGCAAUAGCUGCACUACAUUUCGUAAAUAUGCUAAUAUCAUAUAUGUGAACUUAUGUUUCCCAUAGAUGAAAGCAAUAUGCCGUUGGGCAACCACACAACAUUCAAGAAUGGAUAUUUUGUCAUUCAUAUUCAUAAAUAAUUUCCAACAGUUGGUAUA